CUAAUGUGUGUGUGAGUCAGGGNCUUGUCCAAAAGCUAUUGUGGCACAAUGAANGUGAAGGGCCUCACCUGGGGCCCACAGUGAGAUCUCCAGGCCUCUCCAGUUCNCCAAGGGUGCACCACUGGCCCUUCUCACCUGCUGCACAGGGGAGGUGGAGCAGGAGUUCAUGAGUUAGGACCUGAAAGGUGCCUGGGUAGGGUGAAGCCAGACAAAACUCUUUGGUAGAGGUCAGCAGCUGUCCUUAUGUGCAAAUCAGUCAUCUGACCUGUGUGUAGGGGCGAAAUAUUAACUGCACCAUCUAGUAGCUGA
rnacentral:ncRNA from 1 species